AAAAUAUGCUUGGGUGGAAAUUCUUUUCUCUGAAUCUUCUGCUUAGCCUGAAAACUUGAUUUUGAUAGAAGAGGAAGAAUUUUGCAUGGUUUUCUUGUCUUGAUUGAUUUGGUGAGCUGAAAGAAAGACACUGCUUCAUCAGAAUUCAAACAACAGAAAACAUCUCCCAGACAUUGCCACAGCUACUCCAACCUUCAUUACCCACCACUCUGAUCAGUCAACAGUCAUCAAUAUGGAAGCAAGACAUUCUACCAGCAAAUAGAUUCUGACUCGCUGAAGCUCCCAUGGUUUAACAAAUCAUUUUAAAGUAAGGUAUAUACAUAGCUUUGUAGACAUAAUGCUAUUGCACACUUAAUAAACUACAGUAUAGUGUAAACAUAAUUUUUUAUGCACUGGGAAGCCAAAAAUUUUGUGUGACUCACUUUAAUGCAAUAUUUGAUUUAUUGCUAUGGCCUAGAACUAAAUCUGUAAUAUCUCUGAGGUACGCCUAUAAUCAAGGGGGUAAGUUAUUUAUCAACUCUUAUACAUCAUACAACCUCCUGACUAAAAAAAACUAACAAAACACAAUACUUAAUAUUAGGGAAAAAAUAAAGAAAUUUAUUAUGAAAUUCAAUCAUCACUCAUAUUCUAAAUGCCUGCUCCUUGAAAAAAGCUUUUGAUAAGUCACACUUUCCAUUUCUAGGACUUUGCAAUUUGUUGAGAUAAAAAUCUAUGAAGAGAUAAACAGAUCAUUUAACUAGAACACAGACAAUGAGGGAGGGGAAGUGGAAGUUAGUAUCAUAAUGCUCUAGACUUUAAUAGAGAGUUAUUAAAUCUUUGUUCAUAGGAUAUGUCUUUCAUUUUACUAAAUGGCUCUCUGUAAACCUGGCAAAAUGAAUGAUUUGCCAGAUAUUGUGAAAAGGGUAGAACUAAGGUAUUUUAUAAAGUAUAAGUUCAAUCUAUUUGCCUGGCUCUCAUUGCUUAUAAGCCAGUCUACUGAAGGCUUAUCAGCUACAUUAUAAUGAUUUUAAAAGCAAAGCAGUUAUGAAUUUUCUACAUUCCAUGUCCUUGUAUCCCUAACCAGAAGUUAUUGAGAGGGCAGAGAUAGCAAAACAUCAUGCUAUUGAAUAGCAAGUACUGCUUCUGUAAUACCUAUAAUAACUGGACCUUAGUUUAUAAAAUUCAUACAAAUUACUUAGAAAUAUAUUUUUAUUUUAAUCUUAUUUUAUUUUUGGGGGACAGACUCUCACCCUGUCACACAGGCUGGAGUGCAGUGGCAUGAAACUCGACUCACUAAAACCUUUGCCUCCCAGGCUCAAAUGAUUCUCCUGCCUCAGCCUCCCGAGUAGCUGGGACCACAGGUGCACAUCAGGCCUGGCUGUUUUAUUUUUUAUUUUUGUAGAGACAGGGCUUUGCCAUGUUGCCCAGGCUGGUCUCGAACUCUCUGCCCAUCUUGGCCUCCCAAAGUACUGGGAUAAGAGUCAGAGCCACCACACCUGGCCAGAAAUAUAUACAUGUAUACAUAUAUAUUUUUUUCUUUUUUUAAAGUUAUACUUUAAGUUUUGGAGUACAUGUGCAGAAUGUGCAGAUUUGUUACAUAGGUAUACACAUGCCAUGGUGGUUUGCUGCACCCAUCAACCUGUCAUCUACAUUAGGUAAUUCUCCUAACGCUAUCCCUCCCCUAGCCACCCACCCCCUGACAGGCCCCGGUGUGUGAUGUUCCCCUCUCUGUGUCCAUGUGUUCUCAUUGUUCAACUCCAACUUAUGAGUGAGAACAUGCAGUUUUUGGUUUUCUGUUCUUGUGUUAGUUUGCUAAGAGUGAUGGUUUCCAGCUUCAUCCAUGUCCCUGAAAAGGACAUGAACUCAUCCCUUCUUAUGGCUGCAUAGUAUUCCAUGGUGUAUAUGUGCCACAUUUUCUUUAUCCAGUCUAUCAUUGAUGGACAUUUGGCUUGCUUCCAAGUCUUUGCUAUUGUGAACAGUGCAACAAUAAACAUACGUGUGCAUG